rnacentral:rRNA from 1 species
CCUUUAGAGUUUGGAUCCUGGCUCAGAUUGAACGCUGGCGGCAGGCCUAACACAUGCAAGUCGAACGGUAACAUUUCUAGCUUGCUAGAAGAUGACGAGUGGCGGACGGGUGAGUAAUGCUUGGGAACUUGCCUUUGCGAGGGGGAUAACAGUUGGAAACGACUGCUAAUACCGCAUAAUGUCUUCGGACCAAACGGGGCUUCGGCUCCGGCGCAAAGAGAGGCCCAAGUGAGAUUAGCUAGUUGGUAAGGUAACGGCUUACCAAGGCGACGAUCUCUAGCUGUUCUGAGAGGAAGAUCAGCCACACUGGGACUGAGACACGGCCCAGACUCCUACGGGAGGCAGCAGUGGGGAAUAUUGCACAAUGGGGGAAACCCUGAUGCAGCCAUGCCGCGUGUGUGAAGAAGGCCUUCGGGUUGUAAAGCACUUUCAGUUGUGAGGAAAAGUUAGUAGUUAAUACCUGCUAGCCGUGACGU